AUCCAGGUGACGAGUCCCCAGUAGGACGGAACGCGCGUCCUGGAU
rfam:Schistosoma mansoni strain Puerto Rico chromosome W, complete genome